ACAGAUUGGAAUUCACCUCCCAAAAAAGGCACACCAGCUUAACUGCACUAUCAUCAUCAUCAUCAUCAUCAUCAUCAUCAUCAUCAUGUUAUUAUUCACAACAACUUGGCUAGCAUAAAACACCACACAAGCUCUUGGGGAGUAGGAUUACAAACAAAAAAUAUUGCAAGGCCACACCAUACCUAUACAACAAAGUGUUUCGAUUCCACGAUAGAAAAUGAAUAAAAACACCACCAAAUCUCAUCAACGACACUAACUUCACCCGACUCGAGUCGCUGAUUGAUUGAUUGAUUUCCGCGACCACGAGAUGUAGUAGGCACGAUCGAUCAGGGUCAGGCUCAGGCUCGACACUUCUGGGCAGGCAACCAAGAUGUAAUGUCUUCUUGUUUUCUCUACACACAAGUCAGCAGAGGGUCCCUGGAUGCCAUGAUUCAACUAACUACACAAGGGAUGCUCCAAGGUCUUUUUAAUGCUUCAUAUCAGCAUCACAUGUUGCGUGCUGAACCGCUCCGAGGCAGAGUCCUGAGAUACACACAAAAAAUUCUUUAACUAACACAUACCAUGCCUAGUGGAGUUUGAAACAAGCAUGAUGAUUAUUUAUCUCAAAAUCUCAACAGAGACAAUGGUAUCUGCGGUGCGGUAGGGGUGUACUGUACCUUCCAGGUGGCAUCUGUGAGGCAGAGGUGCUUGAACUGCCGAACCUUCUUGCUUUCGUAUCCUGCUCUUUCUCUAAUCGCAUAGCCACCACCUCCUUUUCCAUGGCAGCAACAUCCCGUCUCAUCUUCUUAGCCUCUGACUCCAUCGCCUUUGUUAAAGUGUCGACUUUCUUA
rnacentral:lncRNA from 1 species